rnacentral:misc_RNA from 1 species
GUGAAUUGAAUAUGUUAGCGGACCUCUUCGGAGUCCCUAGCAUCAAAUCAUAUCCAUAACACCUGUGAACUGUAAGGCUGUCUUGAAAACGAAAGUGAUUAGAGCGCCUGCCCUUUUUAACAAACAAUUAAUGUAACAAACGUAGUCUUAUUAUAACCUAAUA